rnacentral:ncRNA from 1 species
UAAAAGUUUGAUUCUUGCUUGUAUUUUUAUUUUAUGAUUGUGUUAUACAUGUAUAUUUUGGUGAGGGGAAAAUGGGGAAUUAAAGAUUCUUUGUGAAAGGUAGGUAAGAUCGCAGUAUUAAGUAUUAAGAAUUGGGUUUAAACUCGAUUUAGUAAAUUAUAAAAAGCUUGAUUAAAUUUUGUGCCAGCAGUCGCGGUUAGACUUAAAAGUUGAGUAAAAAUAUUUUAGUUGGAGUUAUUAAGAUCGUAGAUUUUAAUUUGGGUUUUUGGUAAUAAAAGGUGGAAUUGGUUUAUUAUGGGUAAAUUUAAGUUAAGGAUUAGGAAGAAAGAAGCUCGGAAGAUCAAGGUAUAAACUAGGAUUAGAUACCCUAUUAUACUUGAAAGAGAAAGCCUUAACUUGAAUAUUAAGAGUUAUGAGCUUUAAAUUCAGAGAAUUUGGCGGUAUUUUAGUCUUGUUAGAGGAACCUGUUCUGUAAGCGAUACAACACGUAGAAUCCUACUUACUCUUGUUUUCAGCUUGUAUACCGUCAUUAUUAGAUAACCUUUAUUGGGUGAGUUAUUGAAUUAUAAAAAAUUAAAUAUAUUAGAUCAAGGUGCAGUUGAUGGGUAAGAAGAAAUGGGUUACAAUAAAAUUUAUUUAAACGAAUUGAUAGUUGAAAAGUUAUUAUGAAGGAGGAUUUAAUUGUAAUAUAAAUUUAAUAAGUUUAUAUGAUAUGAGAACUAAAAUAUGUACAUAUCGCCCGUCGCUUCCAUUUAAGGUGGAAUAAGUCGUAACAUAGUAGGUGUACUGGAAGGUGUACCUAGAAUUAU